rnacentral:rRNA from 1 species
UACGUAGGGUGCGAGCGUCAAUCGGAAUUACUGGGCGUAAAGCGUGCGCAGGCGGUUUUGUAAGACAGAGGUGAAAUCCCCGGGCUCAACCUGGGAACUGCCUUUGUGACUGCAAGUCUAGAGUACGGCAGAGGGGGAUGGAAUUCCGCGUGUAGCAGUGAAAUGCGUAGAUAUGCGGAGGAACACCGAUGGCGAAGGCAAUCCCCUGGGCCUGUACUGACGCUCAUGCACGAAAGCGUGGGGAGCAAACAGGAUUAGAUACCCUGGUAGUCCACGCCCUAAACGAUGUCAACUGGUUGUUGGGUCUUAACUGACUCAGUAACGAAGCUAACGCGUGAAGUUGACCGCCUGGGGAGUACGGCCGCAAGGUUGAA